GACAGAGGGUGCUAGCGUUGUUCGGAAUUACUGGGCGUAAAGGGCGCGUAGGCGGCCCGUUUAGUCGGGUGUGAAAUCCCAAGGCUCAACCUUGGAACUGCACUCGAUACUGGCGGGCUAGAGACCGGAAGAGGUGGGUGGAAUACCCAGUGUAGAGGUGAAAUUCGUAGAUAUUGGGUGGAACACCGGUGGCGAAGGCGGCUCACUGGUCCGGUUCUGACGCUGAGGCGCGAAAGCGUGGGGAGCAAACAGG
rnacentral:rRNA from 1 species